UUUACAUUUGACUAAUCUUUUAUAACACCCAAAUGUAUGGGCAUGAGUUCAUGCUGAGAGGAAAACUUUCGUGAGUCUGUUAACUCAGGAGGACCAUAAGGCAUUCAGAAAAUAAGUUAAUAUUCUGAAGUGCAUUAAUUAAUACUUUUGACUACCCUGACCAGUUAAGAUCCUCAGAGACAUAUACCCCAAUUUCGAAUCCAAUUAAAAUGAUAUCCAUUACUAAAUUAACCCAUGUACAUUCAAAUCUUGAUGUAAAAUGACAUAGUCUCAAGAUACCCAUUAAUUAAUCAAACAUGAAAAAAUAUGUCAAAAAAUUAUUAAUCCAUCUAUUCUGAUGUUAUAUCUCAAAGGUCUUCAAGCUCCUUAUAUAUUAGAAGUAUUAUAUACUAUAACAAUUCUUCACUUUGUUUAAAAGAUAACACUGAAAAAAUGUUUCACCAUAUGCUUGUUUGAGAUGCAGUGAAAAAAUGUUCUUUUCAAAGCAUAUGGUGAUAUAAUUAGGUGUCUCUGAAUACAGCAAGGUUGUAAAGAGAACUGUCUGAACUAAAUUGAAACAAUUUGCUGCUCUGUGUUUUUUUUUUGACCCAUCACCCCAACAUCAGUAUCUUCUCUGGGUUAUCAUUGUUUUUAAUAAGGAAGAAUCUUAAGCACUUGAAGAUGAGAAACAUCUGCUGUCACCUCCCAUAGCUAUGGCAGAUAGGGUUCCAGGACUGCUUCCCCUUCCCUUUCACUGUGUAAACCCCUGUGUGGCUCACGUGCCCAGUCUCUCUCAUUGAGGAGUUCUGGCAUCACUCCAGCAUCAUUGACAUUUCUAUAAAGUUCUGUAGCCCGGAGUCGGCUUGUGUCUAUGGCUUGGCUGCCUUUCUUCAUGCCGUCUCCUGGGAUUCUCUUCUGCUAAUGGUGAGAGGCCUUGCAUUUCUUUUUCUUCAAUAAAAGGGUUUUUUAAAAAAUAUUUCAUCCUGUUUUGGUGUACUCAAUCUCUGAAGAAAAGAAAAAGUUUGCAAAUAGAUUCUAUGUGAUAUAAUGAGAAGGACACUGGUUAUUUGUUAUAAGAAAUCUAAAUUUAAAAAUUCGUGUAUUGAAAUCUGGGAAACAAAACAUCAUGGUUUCGGAUGAGUUUGGGUAUUAUCUUGUAUACUGUUUUUUCUUCAUUUUUCCAAUUCAUUGGGACGUACAACAUUUACUAGGAUUUUAAGGGUAGUAGGAUUUGUCACAUUUUAAACAAGUUCAUGAGUAUAUUUGAAUAAUGAACCUUUCAUUUAAGGACAUCAGUGCCUUGUAGUCCAUUGAUAAACAGAGUCUGGAUUUUUUCUUUUAAUUUUUUUUUAAAGUGCCUGACUGGAAUGAAUAUUAUGUGUUUGUCUUAGACAUAUGUUGUUUUCAGCCAAAUUCAUUGCUGACUGAUACGGUAAGUUUCACUAAUUUUAAGUCCUAUUUUUAUAUCAUUUAUAGUGAGUAUUCUUGGUUUUAGUUAACAAGUGAAACUGUCAGCAAACAAACGUGGAUUGUGCAGCAGAAGACAUAGAUGAUAGAUGCUAUUGCAAGUCAUGACUCAUGAUCAUUCAAUGGGUUAUUUGCCUCACUUCUUUUGUGAUUUUUUCUGUUGUCGACUAUUGAGGAAAUGAAUUAUUUUCUCUAGCUUUCCCGGCACGGUUACUUUCUAAUCAACUUGUGUUUGUUUUCACCUUGCAUCCGGGGAACAGUACCUCCUGAGGUGAAAUGCUAUAGUGAGCCAAAUCCUCGUCCGUCGUGGAAUGGUUUGCAAACUUUAGCAUCUACUGGAAUCACCUGGAGGCUUGUUAAAAUACAGAUUGCUGGCCUUCAUCCCCAGAGUUUUUGAUUCACUAGGUCAGGAAUAGGGCUGCAGUAUUUGCAUAUUGAAUGAGUUCCCAGAUGAAGAUGAUGUGCUGGCCUGGGAACCACGUUUUGAGAACGACUUGUAUAGUGCAACACUUAGUGCCUGUCCUAUGGUCUGUCGUCUCUGUGUCCCAGUGGAGACAGUGAAGUGUCCUACUGCACCCUGAGGUAGGCCCCAACCAGCUCCCAGGCACCAGGGUCUCCUUCCUUUUUUUCUUACAGGGGUUGACCACUUAGGUUUUUCUCUUUUAGGUGCUUCCGCUGCAAACUGCCAUUGAAGUUCUUGCUCACUCUCCUCACAUGGCCUGGUUCUUAAAAAGAAUAACUCCCCUUUUCUUUACUGUGGCUGAAGACAAGCAUCCAGGGAAAGCAGAAGCUGAAGCAGAGAAAAAUGAGCAUUAAAAUCAGACUGAGACUUGAGGCAUCGAAGUUCACAAGACACAAGAAGGGACAAUGGUAUGGGACUUAUCUCAUUUGGGGAGAGAUGGAAAUUCUUCAGGAGAGGAUUUGAGAUUCUGGAGCAGGGAGAGGUCCUAAAUUGAGCCCGAGGGUUGAUGAUGAGGAAGCAUCCGGUGAUUGCGAGUUAGGAAGCAAGCUACUGUCUAAGUGGGGUGCCUCCCCAAAAGCACUUCUUCACCCCUUCUCCCUUGAUACUAUAAGUACACUUUGUGUCAGAUAGAGUGGGUCUAUUUAGCAAAUUCUGUAUGCGUUUUGGAAGACAUUCUCACCAAACAACUGCUCAAACUAUCCAACCAUUCAGAGAUUUCAUACAGGUCUGGUCUGGAAGAGACAAGCAUGGUAGAACUUAAGGAGGACACAAGGCUGAAUGGACACAGGCACUCUGUCUAUAGAACACUGGGUGGAGUGGAGUACAGACUGGUAGAGAACUUCCAAGUGUAAGGCAAUCCAGCUGCUCCCCAAGAUUCUUCCCAUAAGGUAAUGGGGGAUUUGGUCUCUCCCUAAUGGACAGGAAGAAAGAGCUCUGGCUGCCAGUAGUACAUACAGAAAUUUAUGUGAUUUACUAUAAAUGGUACCCCUUCCUCAAAGCACGUGACUUCCACCUGGUCAGAUAAAUGUCAUAAUAAAUAUACACAGAUAUGAAAUCCAGGUGAAUGUUGAUGUUGGGUUAUAUGUGGUCACUGAACACGGUGUAUCCGUACUAUCUUUGUAACUGUCCAUGGUGGCCUUGCCUGGCACAUUUGGAUCGCAAGAAUAUCCAGAGAAGAAUGUGUCAAUCAGAAGGGUCGAUUAACUUAUCCAGGAAACAAGAGAGUCACUGGGGAGAAGAUUAACAUUGCUCGUUCAGUCGUUGCUCUGGGGAGCAGGAUUUGCAGGUCUAUGCAAUGUUACGUCACACUAAGUUACUCUGGUGCUGUUUAGAAUCUGAAUCAUACUCUACCUCCUUUACAUUGAUUGCAUGCUCACCUGCUAAUUGUAAUUUGACCUCCAUGACUUGAGCUGAGCAGGCGGGUUGAGUGGCUGGUUCCCUGUGACUGUUCUCUCUCACUAAAUGCCUUAAGUUUGCCUUCUGGUACCAAUGUUGUUGCUGUCUUGCUGAAGGAUGGAACAACUCUCUUUUUUCUGACGUAUCAGAUUUCCUGGUGGUGGCAGCAUUCAGUUCCUUGCUGGCUAUUGGAAGAGACCACCCUCACUUGCUUGUUGUGUGGCCCUCUCUAUAUGGCAGCUCACAACAUGGCAGCUUGCUUCUUUGAAGCUGGCAAGGGACAGAGUCUCCUAGCAAGAUGGAGAUUACAGUCUUAAGUAAUGUAAUCACAUACAUGUAAUCACAUGCAUCUAUUAUCGUUACCAUAUUCUAUUGGUUAGAAGCAAGUCACAGGUCCUGCCCACACUCAAGGGGAGAGGAUUAUACAAGGGUGUGAAUACCAGGGAAAAGGGAUCAUGGGACCAUCUUAGUGUCUGUGUGCCCAAACUGAGUAUGUAUCUGCUCAACUAGAGUCUACAUUUCCUAGUCUUCCUUGUAGCUAGGGGUGGCUCUGAGUUUUGGCCAAUGGGAAGAGAGCAGAAGUAAUGGGUGGGAAUUUUGGAAUCUAUUUUAAUAAGGAAGUUUCUUACCAUCCACUCUGCUCUCUUUCCCCGUUCCUGCAAGUGACAAUGUGAAUAUGGUGUUAGCAGUGUUGAUGCUGCAGAUGAAGAUAACCCUGGGAGGUGAUAGAGGAAUAGCAUGAAAAGACUGUCCUGGAUGACCAUGUAGAGUGGAGCCACUUUACCAGCGCUGAAAUGCUCACUUCUGUUAUAAGCGAGUGAAAUAAUCUUGUUUCUCAAACUGUAUUUUGGAGCCUCUUUGUUAUAGGAGCUUAACUUAUACCUAACUCAUAGCAGUUUAUUCUGUAGCUAGACUGUCUCAACAUGGUGGGCAGCCUCGUGGGAUCUGCUCAUGGACCAACCUGAACUGGAGGAUAAAGUGUACAAAGAACAACAUACAUUCACGACAAUAGAUUUCACAAACUUUCAUAUAAAAGAAGAAAGACAUCACCUUAAAAACAAACUUUUAUAUAAAAGACAGACGUUACCUGAAAAGCGUGCUUAUAGAAAAAACAAUCUAGUUUUUUAGUAUUAACUUAAUCCUCUUGGCAUUUUUAAGGAUUAAAAAAAUAAUGACUUGAAUAAGUAACUGUUCUAGUUAUCUAUUGCUGUGUAACAAACUGUUCUAAGACUUAGUGGCCUAAAACAACAGGGAUAAUAUUAUUUUUUUCUCUCAUGAUUCUGGGAGUUAAUUAGGCUCAGCUAGGUGGUUCCUUCUUGGGACCUCCAUUGAGUGGUGGUCAGAUAGUGGCUGGGGCCGGAUCAUCUCAAGGCUCACUCCAUUACACGUCUGGAGGUUGAUGCUGGCUCUUGGCUGCAACCUCAGCUGGGGCUAUUGACCAUAACCCCUUCCUGUGGUUCUCAAUGAGGUCUUUCCACUUCCUCAUGACAUGGUGACUGGUUCCAAGAGGAAAUGUGCUGUGGGCCCAGGUGGAAACUGUAUUGCCUUUUAUGACCUAUCCUCUGAAGUCACAUCACUGCUGCCAUAAUCAUAGACCUGCCCAGAUUCCAGGAGGAGAGGGCAUAUACCCUCUCAGUGGGAGGAGUGACCUCUCAAGGUCAUAUUGCAAGAAGAGCGUCUGGAAUGGGAGGUCUUGUGGUCAUGUUGGAGAGUACUAUCAGUCACAGUCCACCCUUUGGUCAUAACAAUUUAAAUUCCUCCCAUGUACAAAAUGCAAUUAUUCUGUCCCCUUCCACCGAGUCUCAUUCUAUUAAGGCAUUUGCUCAAAAACCUAGGUCUUGUCAUUGAAAUCAGGCCCAGGUGCAGGCGAGGCUUCUUGAAUGUGGUUCUUUGAGUGCAUAUUCCUUGGGUACAUUUGAAGGGCUGUGAACUAAAGAGACAGACUGUCUUCCUCCCACACCUCGACAUAGAGCUCUGGGAAAGUUCUCCAGGGUGGAACCAGGACGAGCAGUCACUGGUUUACAGCAUGCUUCCAGAGCCUGCAUCAGGGCUCAGUCUGCCUGCUGGGAGGUGCUCCUCACUACUCUUGGCUCUACCCUCUUGGAUCUUGGAUCUGCCCUCAGAGACAUCCUUGUUUUUUUUUUUUCCCUUGCUUUUUCUCCCCAAAUCCCCCCAGUACAUAGAUGUAUAUAUUUUGAGUUGUGGGUCCUUAUAGUUGUGGCAUGUGGGACGCCGCCUCAAUGUGGCCUGACGAGCAGUGCCAUGUCCCUGCCUAGGAUUCGAACCAGCAAUACCCUUGGCCUCCAAAGCAGAGUGCAUGAACUUAACCUCUCAGCCACUGGGCCGGCCCCCAUUUUCUGUCUCUUACUAAGAAAAGCUGAGUUUGCAAUUGAAUAGCCUUCUUAGCAUGUGUCCUGCCUGUAAAAAGGGUAGAGGUUCAAAGUUCUUUUUUAGAAUUUAGUAUUUAGUAUUUGUCUGUUCUGUUUAGCCCAAGCUGGCAGUGGUUCCACCAGAAUAAUUAUCUUAAAAACAUGGUGUGUUUUUAAGUGUAUCACUUUAUAAUCCUUGAGACACACCCUCCUAUUUCUUCAAGCUAAGCCCUUCUCUACCUUAGCUUCCUGUGAUGCUGCUGCCAAUUAUUUAACUGAGAGAAUCUGCAAGCCAUGCUCUCAAGAUCCUUAAAGAGCUUUUGGUCUGAUUGAAAGAUUCUGUGAGGUACCACGUUAGAUCUUUCUAAAUCUUAACAAACAGUUUUGCAGACAUGCCCUCAGUUUCGUUUUUAGACCCUGUUUUCCUGAUAGUGCUCUGGAUUUCGUCUCUGC
ensembl:lncRNA